CAUAUUUGGGCUCACAUGAAAACUAGCCAGGAGAUAAGCAGCCUAGUGGUAAGACAUGACAGGAAGCAGCCAAAAAGCUUAUCUCCACCUGCAGUUUCCUGCAAGUGUAUAAAAACAAGCAAAGAGAAGAACAGAGACUGAACAGAAGGCACAGCUAAUACCUUUCAGUUCCUAGAAUACUGUAACCACAAGGAAAAAGGGAUCCCUCAUCACGUAAUGGAGCCAGGUGCCCGGCUGUCCCCGGAACCCCUCACUCACCUUGGCCGGCUGGAAGGCCCGGAGGGAGAACCAGCGAGAACAGCGGAGGCUGGGAGGACGACUUCCCCGCGGUGUUGGUACAGGUAAAGCGGGCGGGGGCAGCGGAGCGGUCGGCGCGGAAGCAGCUAAGCUCAGUCCUCGUGCUGCCGCCGCUGCUCCGACUGAGGGGAGCAGGCGAAGAGAGCGCUGCCUUUUACCGCGAAGGGAGGGGGGAGGAAGGCCGACCCCUCCCCCUCGGGGCUAAAGAGCGGGGUUGUCCCUGGAGGGGAGCGUGGCUGCGCUGCCUCAGCCCCACCCAGCCACCCACCGCUGCGGGCAGGAUGGGUGGCGCCGUGCGCGGGGUCCCCCCUCACGGCCAGGCACGAACCUCCUCUGCCACGAAGCUCUUCCUUGGGCCUGGUCCCCGGAGGGGUGGGGGGGUUAGCUGGGCGCCUUUCGGGAGGGCGCUCAUUAGGUCAAGGUGGGAGUCCUAAUAGUCGUAUCUCCGGCGACGUCUGUGCGUUCCUGUACGACCGCGAAUGUCUGGAAGUUAAACGAAGCCCAACUAGCAAGUGAAAAUCCCAUACAGUGCAUCCCCUCCAGUGCGCUGCAUGAACUAAUGCAGACCUGAGUUUAGCAUUUCUACCUGACCAGUGAAGAUGGAGUCCUAAGUCUUAUAUGUAUACAUGAUGCUGAUGGAGACAUUAGUCAUUUUCAGGUACAUAAAAGGAAGCUACAGAGAAGAUGGUUGAGAACUACAGUACUUUCUCUGGCCACAGAAACGUGGACCAGAAGCAGUGGGUAUAAGUUGCUGCUACCUCAAAUUUGUUUAAAUCUAAGGAAAAACUUCCUGAUGUAAGAUCUGUACAACAAUGGAACAGUCUAUGGAGGUUAGGGGGCCAGUAUUUCUGGAGGUUAUGCAUACUACCUCUCAUGGAUGAUUGAACUGGUUUUCUACCACAUUGCAGAGGGGACCAGAUGAUUCUUGUGAACUCUUCCAACUCCAAAAUUCUGUAUUCAUUCAAGUGAUUAUUUUCAGAUGAACUUUAAUAUCAUCAGGAAGGAGUAUAAUAGAAUGUUUAGCAGACCCUAAGAGGAGGAAGCAAGAGCAUUUCAGAAAAGAUUCCUUAGUCCAGGGAAGAGAGGAAAGAGACUAGGAGUAACUCCAUCUUAAUUAUGCUAGGUAUACGUUAAUAUAUAGAAUUGCUUUGAUAGGCUUUCAAGAUUCCCUUACCUUACCCUACUAACAACAGAAGGCCAAUUUGGUUUAGUAGUUAAGGAGUUGGACCAGGAGCAGGGAAGCCUGAGUUGUACUUUUACUUUUAGCAUGAAAGCUUGAUGGUUGACUGUGGGCCAGUUGCCACGCUCAGCCCUAGGAAGAAAGGCAGACCUAGCCAUCAUUUGCCCUAUAGAAGUGCAGUGUUACCAAUUGAAACUGACUAGGUGUUGGACAACCAUGUUUCUUGGGGUGUAGAGGUGAGGAGGGCUGUAACCGACAAAUAUAGGGAAACUAGCACAUGACCAAUAAAAGCCAAGAUGCACAUCCCUAAUUGUUUUCAGGAUGCUGGAAUGAGAAAGAGUGAUGGUGCCACAUCCUGAAAAUAAUGCUGUACCUGGAGGUUACAAUCUCUACUGACACCAUUUCAGAAUUGCACAAAUAUGUCCUGUUUUCUUCUAGUGUAUAGAUAAAAUAGCAGUGGUAUGGUUAUUCCUUCUUUCUCAAAUAAAAUUGCGGAGCUCUGCUCUCCUCUACAGUACCCUGUUGGAAGUCUGGAGAAAAAUUGGUAUUAAUGGAGAUGGGAGAAGGGAAUGGUAUGAAAGAACUCAGGGAACAUCAUGCUGGUGGAGAGGGCAAAUGCUGGUAGAAAAAUGGCUGAAAUGGGUAUAUGGGGAGUGAUUUCACCAGUUUGCCUUCUGAUAAACGCAUGACUUUCAAUUGACCAUUCCUACUGUAAUAGAUAUUGUGUAAAUGGGCAAGGCUUCUCCUAUAGCAGCUAUUUUAUGAGAAUGCACUUUUUGUAUUAUCAAAACUGACCCCCAAAGAUUACCUUCUCCUGGUCUACAUAAUUCAACUCUCCAGUUAUGAUGAGUUUUUACUAUGACUAUUGUUAAGGCUCUGUAGCACCUAUCUUUAAAGUUCCUAGUAAUCCACUUUCUUGAUGUGAUAGUUUUCGUUGUCUUUAACUUUCAUUUAUUGAAAUAAAAAUAGGAAAAAUCAUGCAUAGAAGUAUGAAGAGACUCAGACUCAAAUUUGCCAAAAUACACAUGAUUUCUAAAAAUGUAAACAAGCGUCUGGGAACACAUCAUCCUUGUAUCUCAUCCUGAGUGUACUUGGGUGGCCUGUGCAACAACUCUAAUCACAUUCCAUUGCUUUCUCUCCUGAUAUGUUUAAUUGCAUAGAAUGUCCUUGGCACAUAAGAAUUGUUUACCCAUUAAUUUAUCUUGACUUUCUGUGUUCAUGCUUGGGCAGAAGCAAGUGGUAAUGAAGGCUGGUCAACUGGAAAUAUCAGUGAUUAAACAUGUUCAUCAAAUUUUGACUUUGUAUAAUUGAAAAUUUAUUUGCAUCUUCCCAGCUUUUUAUGCAUACUCUCCAAUGUCUGUAGAGGAAUUUUUUUCUCCUUUAUUAUUGGAAACAUUAAUACUGAUUGUACAGAAUAAAGAGAGGAGAACAAUGAGAGGACUUAUCCAAGUGCUUGAGAAGCAAUAACCUAUAAGACUAUUAUUUGUCUCCCAGAGUUGUUAGGUAGUUAAAGGUCUCAAUUACUAUUUCAUGCCUCUUUGAAAGAUCUGCAAUUUGAUCUUGGAAAGCAUACUCCAUCUUUUUUUCUUGUUUGGGCAGGUGAUAGUAGGCACUAAUAACAAAAUUACUUUUAUUUGUUCAUCUACUUAUAUAACACAGAUGCCUACUGCUUUAUCACCAAAUUCAUUCACUUGGGUUUCUGAGUAAGUGUGCAUACUUUUAAGUAUGUAAUGUAACUCUUCUUCCCCUUGCUAUUGCUUCUGUUCCUUCUGUACAAAUAGUAUCCUUUGCUGUAUUCUAACUGCUGUAUGCCAGUCAUUCCACCAAAUUUCCCUUAUGCAUAUUAGAUCAUAUUUAAAUCAUGUACUGGGAGUUUUGGAACAAGAGAAGAAGAGGACAAACCAACAACAAGGUGGAAGGACUCAGUACAGUGGUGAUGACUGC